rnacentral:rRNA from 2 species
AUGAACGCUGGCGGCGUGCUUAACACAUGCAAGUCGAACGAUGAAGAGAGCUUGCUCUUGGAUUAGUGGCGAACGGGUGAGUAACACGUGAGUAACCUGCCCUUGACUCUGGGAUAAGCACUGGAAACGGUGUCUAAUACCGGAUACGAGCUUCCGCCGCAUGGUGAGGAGUUGGAAAGAAUUUUGGUCAAGGAUGGACUCGCGGCCUAUCAGCUAGUUGGUGAGGUAAUGGCUCACCAAGGCGACGACGGGUAGCCG